rnacentral:rRNA from 1 species
GGAGGGGGCAAGCGUUGCUCGGAAUUACUGGGCGUAAAGGGUCCGCAGGUGGUUUUGCAAGUUAGAUGUGAAAGCUCAGGGCUCAACCCGGAAACUGCAUCUAAUACUACAAAACUAGAGUCUAGGAGAGGUUGGCGGAAUUCCCGGUGUAGCGGUGAAAUGCGUAGAUAUCGGGGGGAACACCAGCGGCGAAGGCGGCUAACUGGCCUAGUACUGACACUCAUGGACGAAAGCGUGGGUAGCAAACCGGAUUAGAUACCCGGGGGUAGUCCACGCCCUAAACGAUGGAUGCUAGGUGUAGGGAUUUAAAUCUCUAUGCCGUAGCUAACGCAUUAAGCAUCCCGCCUGGGGAGUACGGUCGCAAGGCUG